UACGAAGGGGGCUAGCGUUUUUCGGAAUUACUGGGCGUAAAGGGCGCGUAGGCGGCCUGACAAGUCAGGGGUGAAAGUCCUGGGCUCAACCUGGGGACUGCCUUUGAAACUGUUGGGCUUGAGACCGGGAGAGGUGAGUGGAAUUCCCAGUGUAGAGGUGAAAUUCGUAGAUAUUGGGAAGAACACCAGUGGCGAAGGCGGCUCACUGGACCGGUUCUGACGCUGAGGCGCGAAAGCGUGGGGAGCAAACAGG
rnacentral:rRNA from 1 species